GGUAGAAGUAACUGAUACAACAACUGGACAACACUGCAACAAUCGGUAGAAAAAUAACUGAUCCAACAACUGGAGGACACUGCAAUAAUCGGUAGAAGUAACUGAUCCAACAACUGGAGGACACUGCAAUAA